rnacentral:rRNA from 1 species
UACGGAGGGGACUAGCGUUGUCCGGAAUUAUUGGGCGUAAAGGGCUCGUAGGCGGUCUGUCGCGUCUGCUGUGAAAACUCAGGGCUUAACCCUGAGCUUGCAGUGGGUACGGGCAGACUAGAGUGCGGUAGGGGAGACUGGAAUUCCUGGUGUAGCGGUGAAAUGCGCAGAUAUCAGGAGGAACACCGGUGGCGAAGGCGGGUCUCUGGGCCGUAACUGACGCUGAGGAGCGAAAGCGUGGGGAGCGAACAGG